AUGAUUUGACGAAAGAAAAUCUGUCUUAGCUUAUUAAAAAAAAAUUAACCUAGAAGUUAAAAGGCUUCUAUUUCCUAAAGGGACGACAAGACCCUAUAAAGCUUUAUUUAUAAUAUUUUUAUUUACUUCAAUAAAAAAUAUAAAUUUAUAAAUUCUAUUGGGGCGAUAGAUAAAUAAACAUUAUUGACUAUAACGUUUUUAACGAAAUUUAUAAAAUGUUUUUAAAACCUACAACAAGUUACUUUAGGGAUAACAGCAUAAUUUCUUUUUAGAGUCCUUAUCGACAAAGAAGAUUAUGACCUCGAUGUUGGAUUAAG
rnacentral:rRNA from 1 species